AUGAAUAAAUUCAAACGUACGAUUGUCCAUGACAGCGUAUGUGAUUUAUGUGGACAUGGGGAAGAGGACGAAUUCCACGCGGUCUUAAUAUGCACAAAGAGCAGGGCUUUGAGGUUUGCUAUGCGGAAAGUGUGGGGAAUACCGAAUGAACAUGAGUUCGGGUACACUGGGAGAGACUGGCUUCAGGUGUUGUUAGACAAAAAUGAUUCAGAGAUGAGGAUCAAAAUCCUACUUCUACUGUGGCGUGCCUGGUUUUUACGUGAUGAUUGUGUGCAUCAUGAGGGUAAGGAAUCUGUAUCGAGAUCGGUGCAGUUCCUGAUUGGGUACGAGAGGGAAUUACAGAAUCUGUCACUGGAUGAUCGGACUAACGGGAAAUGCAGUGGCUCUUUGUCAGUCUUCGGAUAA
rnacentral:rRNA from 1 species